rnacentral:tRNA from 1 species
UAGCUCAGUCGGUAAAGAAUCUGCCUGCAAUGCAGGAGACUCAGGUUCGAUUCCUGG